rnacentral:rRNA from 1 species
GCGGUGGAGCAUGUGUUUAAUUCGAAGCAACGACGAAGAACCUUACCAGGUCUUGACAUCCCUGACAACCGAGAGAUCGGCGUUCCCCUUCGGGGGACAGGGUGACAGGUGGGUGCAUGGUUGUCGUCAGCUCGUGUCGUGAGAUGUUGGGUUAAGUCCCGCAACGAGCGCAACCCUCGACCUUAGUUGCCAGCAUUCAGUUGGGCACUCUAAGGUGACUGCCGGCUAAAAGUCGGAGGAAGGUGGGGAUGACGUCAAGUCCUCAUGGCCUUUAUGACCAGGGCUACACACGUACUACAAUGGCCGGUACAAAGGGCAGCGACACAGCGAUGUGAAGCGAAUCCCGAAAAGCCGGUCUCAGUCCGGAUUGGAGUCUGCAACUCGACUCCAUGAAGUUGGAAUCGCUAGUAAUCGCGGAUCAGCACGCCGCGGUGAAUACGUUCCCGGGCCUU